rnacentral:misc_RNA from 1 species
GGCCAAUUGAAAAAAAAGUAACGGGCACUAUGGUUCAUUUAUAACUGACGCAUUUGAGUAUAGUGUUACCUAUUUUUAAGUAAUAAUGCUAGGAAGUGGUAUUAUAAUUGGAAGAAAUUUUCUAAUCAUUCUGUUAACAUGUCCCACUUGCACAGCGAUGAUAACUAUUAGUCCACAUUACUGAAUACAUGCAAGUCAUAGACAAUUAGAUAUUGCUUGUCAAGGAAACAAACACAUUACUGGCUGCUGCUGCUAUGUUUGCAGGCAAAAGAAGAAGCAGAGUUGC